rnacentral:tRNA from 1 species
GGGGCCGUAGUCUAGCUUGGUUAGGACGCCAGCUUGGGGUGCUGGUAACCCCGGUUCAAAUCCGGGCGGCCCCA